rnacentral:rRNA from 1 species
CCUACGGGUGUCAGCAGUGAGGAAUAUUGGUCAAUGGCCGGAAGGCUGAACCAGCCAUGCCGCGUGAAGGUCAGUGCCCUAUUGGCUUUUCACUUCUUUUUUUCGGGAGCAAAAAUGGGCACGUGGGGCAAGACGAGAGGACCGUACGAAUAAGCAACGGCUAACUCCGGGCCAGCAGCCGCGGGAAUACGGGGGAUGCAAGCGUUUACCGGAUUUAGUGGGUUUAAAGGGUGCGGAGGCGGGCGGAUAAGUUAGAGGGGAAAUCCCGCGGCUCAACGGCGGAAUUGCCGCUGAUACUGUUCGGCUAGAGCGUAGUUGCGGUAGGCGGAAUGUGUGGUGUAGCGGUGAAAUGCUUAGAG